UGUUACCGAAAGUGUCCAUGUGAAACUCGAGAUGAAUGUACUUKAUUCUCUCCAUUUUCAAGCAAGGGGGCAACAAUGAUAACAUUUGUUGAUACACGGGUGCGCUGUGUUCCUCGGCUUCCCUUUGAGGAGAGUGAAUGCCGGGCUCUACUGCUGAAGGAGUGGUCCUGCUACAAACAGACCCAGCACCGGGUUGAGAUGGAGGCAGUAGGCCUGGCUGUGGAGGCCAAGAGGGAUGCUCUGGAGGAGCUGAUGCUGCAGUGAGGGGAGCUCUACAAGGRAUCACUGAGGCCAAACCCCCUGCUCUUCCCUUUCAACCACCAGGGAUCCAGCUUCACGAGGCCCAGUAUGAGGCACUUGAGGGCAAAUACAACAUCACCAAAGUUUACACCCAGCGAGAGGGUGGGGGAUAUUAACAUUGUGGGCAUWAUACGUGUUGACAUGGUUGUUACAUCCAUGUUUUUACAUGAUUUGAACYGACAGACUAAAUAUUUGACGAGGAUGUUCAUGAAAGAAGAUGAGACAUUAAAGCUUGCUCAGAACAACGGCCCGGGCACCAAUAGUGGGUGUAUGUCUCAUUCAAAGUAAGGGUAAUUUAACUGCUUACUGACCAUGACCUGUUCAUCGUAUUGACAACUGCCCUAGCAUGGAUACACAAAUUUCAACUCACACUCAUGAAGUGAUUCACAUUCUGUAGUGUGUGUGCUCUGUAAUGUUACAUUCAUAGAUCUCAUAGGUUUAAAUAGUCUGUAAGUAAAACAUACCAGGGGGUUGAAAUAAAGGAUUCACAUUUGUUUUAUUUGAAA